CGAUUGUACAUUGGCGGCUUAAGCUAUGGCUUAGUUGAACCGGGUUCAAUUUUGAGCGUCGGUUUAACUUCAUUCGGGUUGUUCAAUGCCGAGUUCAGUUAAGCCGAGGUUCAUACAAAUUUUGGUAAGGUUGGCAACGUAAGGCAUGCGUAUUCAAAGCAAUUCCCGUCAAUUCUCGACAUAAAUUUUCCCGCCAUUUAUGUAUUAUUAUUUGGUUUUUGUCAAUAUAAUUCUUUUAUUACUGUUAUUAGUUUAAUCGGUAUUUUCUAUCGUUUAGUUUAUCAGUUUAAUCAAUUUCCUACGUUAAAUUUGUGAACAGACCAUUUGAAUAGCUUGUGAUGAAGGAUUGCGUAAGGGUGUUAUCAGGUUUUCUUGACUCCGUAACCACUAUCACCAAAGAAGAUACUAAUUCAAUCUUCACAUUCUCUUCUCAUAAAUAUUUAACUGUUUACAGCUAUGAUUUCAAAUUCACUCAAAAAUGUUAAUAUUUGCCUUAUUCUAGGGAAGUAGGUAGGUAAUUUAAAUAAUUUUAGAAGGUAAAUUAGUUUGUAAUUAUUAUUAAAUAAAGUGAUAAUAUGUACCUACAUAAGCAUGGUACAAAUAUAAUUAAUUUAAGAUUUAUUAAUAAAUUAUGUACAUCUAAUUUAAUAAAUUAACAAAAUCGU